AACGAACGCUGGCGGCAGGCCUAACACAUGCAAGUCGAGCGCCCCGCAAGGGGAGCGGCGGACGGGUGAGUAACGCGUGGGAACGUACCCUUUGCUACGGAAUAGCCUCGGGAAACUGGGAGUAAUACCGUAUGUGCCCUUCGGGGGAAAGAUUUAUCGGCAAAGGAUCGGCCCGCGUUGGAUUAGGUAGUUGGUGGGGUAAUGGCCUACCAAGCCGACGAUCCAUAGCUGGUUUGAGAGGAUGAUCAGCCACACUGGGACUGAGACACGGCCCAGACUCCUACGGGAGGCAGCAGUGGGGAAUCUUAGACAAUGGGCGCAAGCCUGAUCUAGCCAUGCCGCGUGAGCGAUGAAGGCCUUAGGGUUGUAAAGCUCUUUCAGUGGGGAAGAUAAUGACUGUACCACAGAAGAAGCCCGGCUAACUCCGUG
rnacentral:rRNA from 1 species